AGAUAAUGUCAACAAACUCUAUAUUUCAUCUUAUAGGAAAACAGUCUGUGUUUGUUUGGCCAACACUGAUGACAAUCAUUGUGGUGUCGAUACUUCUCAGCAUCAUUCUGUGUUACUUCUUAAAGAAACAUAGAGCAGGCAUUUCGCAAACUAACGCAAGUCAAAAUUCAAAAACAGAGGAGGUGAACUAUGCAGCAUUAACAUUUGCUCACAAUCAGAGGAAAACUAAACAGAGAUCGAAAGAAGAUCAACAGACCCAGGUACUAUACGGAGCUGUGAGACAUCAAGAG